rnacentral:rRNA from 1 species
GAUGAACGCUGGCGGCGUGCCUAACACAUGCAAGUCGAGCGAGAACCUUAGAAAUGAAGUUUCGAUGGAUUUUCUAAGCGGAAAGCGGCGGACGGGUGAGUAACGCGUAGGCAACCUGCCCUUCACACAGGGAUAGCCUCGGGAAACCGGGAUUAAAACCUGAUAAUGCGAUUAUGACACAUGUCAAAAUCGUCAAAGAUUUAUCGGUGAAGGAUGGGCCUGCGUCUGAUUAGUUAGUUGGUGAGGUAACGGCUCACCAAGGCUACGAUCAGUAACCGACCUGAGAGGGUAAUCGGUCACAUUGGAACUGAGACACGGUCCAGACUCCUACGGGAGGCAGCAGUGGGGAGUAUUGCACAAUGGGCGAAAGCCUGAUGCAGCAACGCCGCGUGAGCGAUGAAGGUUCUAUGAAUCGUAAAGCUCUGUCCUAAGGGAAGAAACAAAUGACGGUACCUUAGGAGGAAGCCCCGGCUAACUACGUGCCAGCAGCCGCAGUAAGAC